UACAGAGGGUGCUAGCGUUGUUCGGAAUUAUUGGGCGUAAAGGGCGCGUAGGCGGUUUCGCAUGUCCGAUGUGAAAGCCCACCUCUUAAAGGUGGAAUUGCAUCGGAAACUGCGAGACUAGAGUGCCGGAGAGGGUGGUGGAAUUCCUGGUGUAGAGGUGAAAUUCGUAGAUAUCAGGAGGAACACCGGUGGCGAAGGCGGCAUCCUGGACCGGUAUUGACGCUGAGGCGCGAAAGCUAGGGGAGCAAACGGG
rnacentral:rRNA from 1 species